UUAACAAUUUGUUAGACUGUGACUAUGCUUUUGACUACUGGGGGAAAGGCACGAUGGUCACCGUCACCUCAGCCACACCACGUGCACCGACUCUGUUUCCCCUGGCACCAUGUGGCUCUGGGACUGGAGACAUGGUCACUCUUGGCUGCCUCGCCACCGAGUUCACACCCAGCUCAGUGACCUUCUCAUGGACCAAAAGUGGGGCUGCCCUGACUGACUUCAUCCAGUAUCCUCCAGUACAGAAAGGCGAAUUUUAUACGGGAGUCAGUGAAGCCCAAGUGAGGAGACAGGACUGGGAGGCAAAGCAACAUUUUCAGUGUAUUGUGACACAUCCAGAGGGAACUGUUGAAGCCGAAAUACCUCCGUAUCAACCACCGAUUUUUCAGUUGCCAACUCUUAAAGUGUUGGCCUCCACUGAUGAUGGAAGCGAGGUUUCCUUCUCCUGCUUUGCCAAAGAUUUCUCACCAAAAAAAUAUGAGAUCAAAUGGCUGAAAGAUGACGGGGAAAUCUUCAACAAACUAAAUGAGACCAUUAUGGAAAGCCAGACCAACGAUGGAAAGACACUGUACAGUGUAGCAAGUUUUCUCACGGUAUCCACCGGGGACUUGAUUACUCAUUCCACUAAGUUUACAUGUGAGUUUAAGGGGAAAAAUGAAAACGGUGAUGCAUUUGUGAAUUCAACUGUGACCUACGGAGGGUCAUGUUCUGGGUCAACUGGAUGUGAAGUACCAGAUGUGGAAGUAGAGAUCAAAGGCCCCACAAUGACGGACAUGUUUGUAGAGAAUAAAGGAACUUUAGUAUGUCAAGUCAAGAUAAACAAGCCACAGGUCACGAAGAUUUUUUGGGAGGAUGAGAAUGGAAAGAGCAUGAUUGAAGAAUCAGUCCCCGCUGAUGGAUUUAAAGGCACAGUCAAUGUUAAACUUGACAUCACGUAUGAAGAAUGGACUGCUGGGAAAAAGCGUGUCUGCGUUGUUCAACAUACAAAUUUUCUGGAACCAAUAAAGAGAGUGUAUGAAAGGAAGAUUGGACCUAAACAGCAUCCUUCGGUGUUCAUGCUGCUUCCAGUAGAACAGGCUAAAAAAGACACGGUGACCCUGACUUGCUUUGUGAAAGGCUUCUACCCCAAGGAGGUGUUGGUGUCUUGGCUUGUUGAUGAUGUGCCAGCAUCAGACACAAAUUACGAUUUCAGUACCACAAACCCUGUAGAGAGCAAUGGAUUCUAUUCUGUCUAUGGCCAGUUAACACUCAGCCUUCACGAUUGGAAGGACAGUGACACGGUGUAUAGCUGUGUAGUUUACCAUGAAUCUCUGAAAAACACAACUAAAGCCAUCGUCAGGUCCUUUGCGCACGGAUCAUCUGCACAAACCAAUCUGGUCAACCUCAACAUGAACAUCCCUGAAACGUGCAAGGCCCAUUAGAUGUUAUUUUGUGUUGCUGUGUCUUCUGCUGUUUGUUGUUUAAUGUUUGUUGCUUGUGAUAUGACAUUGUGUUUGUCUUGUUAAUGCAGAUUUAAAAUCAAAAUAAAAAAAAAACACUUUGCAA